rnacentral:rRNA from 1 species
UACGUAGGUGGCAAGCGUUGUCCGGAUUUAUUGGGUUUAAAGGGUGCGUAGGCGGUCUAUUAAGUCAGUGGUGAAAUACUCCAGCCUAACUGGAGGGGUGCGAUUGAUACUGAUGGACUUGAGUGAAGUCGAGGUAGGCGGAAUUGACGGUGUAGCGGUGAAAUGCUUAGAUAUCGUCAAGAACACCAAUAGUGAAGACAGCUUACUAGGCUUAUACUGACGCUGAGGCACGAAAGUGUGGGGAUCAAACAGG